rnacentral:rRNA from 1 species
UUGACCGUGGCAAGGUAGCAUAAUCAAUUGUCUUUUAAUUAAAGGCUUGUAUGAAUGGUUGGAUGAGAUAUAAUCUAUUUUUAUUUUAAUAUAAAUGAAUUUUAAUUUUUAGUAAAAAUGCUAAAAUAAUUAAAUUAGACGAGAAGACCCUAUAAAUCUUUAUUUUAUAUUUAAUUAUAAAAAUUUUUUGUUUAAUAAAUUUAAUUUUUAAAUUAAAAUUUUAUUGGGGUGAUAAUGAAAUUUGAAUAACUUUUAUUUAUUUUUUUUUAUAAAUAUAAUUAAAUUUUUGAUCCAUUAUUGAUGUUUAAAAAAUUAAGUUACUUUAGGGAUAACAGCGUAAUUAUUUUUGAAAGUUCUUAUUGAUAAAAUAGAUUGCGACCUCGAUGUUGAAUUAUAUAAGUAAAUUAUAGGUUGUACGA